rnacentral:rRNA from 1 species
UCCCUUCGGGGAGCAAGUAGAGUGGCGCACGGGUGAGUAACACGUAGGUAAUCUACCUUCGGAUGGGGAAUAACAACCGGAAACGGUUGCUAAUACCGCAUAAUGCAGCGGCACCUAAUGGUGACAGUUGUUAAAGCGGGGGAUCGUAAGACCUCGCGUCUGAAGAGGAGCCUGCGGCGGAUUAGCUAGUUGGUAAGGUAACGGCUUACCAAGGCGAUGAUCCGUAGCCGGCCUGAGAGGGCGGUCGGCCACACUGACACUGACAUACGGGUCAGACUCCUACGGGAGGCAGCAGUCGGGAAUUUUGGGCAAUGGGCGAAAGCCUGACCCAGCAACGCCGCGUGAAGGAUGAAAUCCCUCGGGAUGUAAACUUCGCAAGAACAGGAAGAAUAAGCCGGUGUUAACAUCACCGGCGAUGACGGUACUGUUUGUAAGCUCCGGCUAACUCCGUGCCAGCAGCCGCGGUAAUACGGGGGGAGCAAGCGUUGUUCGGAUUUACUGGGCGUAAAGGGCGCGUAGGCGGCCACCGCAAGUCGACUGUGAAAUCUCCGGGCUUAACUCGGAAAGGUCAGCCGAUACUGCGGGGCUAGAGUGCAGAAGGGGCAACUGGAAUUCUCGGUGUAGCGGUGAAAUGCGUAGAUAUCGGGAGGAACACCUGCGGCGAAGGCGGGUUGCUGGGCUGACACUGACGCUGA